AGAGUUUGAUCCUGGCUCAGAUUGAACGCUGGCGGCAUGCUUUACACAUGCAAGUCGAACGGCAGCACGGGGGCAACCCUGGUGGCGAGUGGCGAACGGGUGAGUAAUAUAUCGGAACAUAUCCGGAAGUGGGGGAUAACGUACCGAAAGGUACGCUAAUACCGCAUAUGCCCUGAGGGGGAAAGGGGGGGAUCGCAAGACCUCUCGCUUUCGGAGUGGCCGAUAUCGGAUUAGCUAGUUGGUGAGGUAAAGGCUCACCAAGGCGACGAUCCGUAGCUGGUCUGAGAGGACGACCAGCCACACUGGAACUGAGACACGGUCCAGACUCCUACGGGAGGCAGCAGUGGGGAAUUUUGGACAAUGGGCGAAAGCCUGAUCCAGCCAUGCCGCGUGAGUGAAGAAGGCCUUCGGG
rnacentral:rRNA from 1 species